GAGUUUGAUCGUGGCUCAGGAUGAACGCUGGCGGCGUGCCUAAUACAUGCAAGUAGAACGCUGAAGCUUGGUGCUUGCACCGAGCGGAUGAGUUGCGAACGGGUGAGUAACGCGUAGGUAACCUGCCUGGGUAGCGGGGGAUAACUAUUGGAAACGAUAGCUAAUACCGCAUAACAGUAGAUAUUGCAUGAUAUCUGCUUGAAAGGUGCAAUUGCAUCACUACCAGAUGGACCUGCGUUGUAUUAGCUAGUUGGUGAGGUAACGGCUCACCAAGGCGACGAUACAUAGCCGACCUGAGAGGGUGAUCGGCCACACUGGGACUGAGACACGGCCCAGACUCCUACGGGAGGCAGCAGUAGGGAAUCUUCGGCAAUGGGGGAACCCUGACCGAGCAACGCCGCGUGAGUGAAGAAGGUUUUCGGAUCGUAAAGCUCUGUUGUAAGAGAAGAACGAGUGUGAGAGUGGAAAGUUCACACUGUGACGGUAUCUUACCAGAAAGGGACGG
rnacentral:rRNA from 1 species